ensembl:lncRNA
AUGGCCUUCUCCAGAAUGAUGCUGCCAGCGACGCGUCGGCCUCCUCGGACCUCCUCAUUUCCACCGAAACCAAGCCUCACAACUCUCCUUCCUGCUCGCGGCACAUCUGGUUUCCUAGGACACUUGUGGUUGCCUAGGAAUGAUGUUAGUUUUUACACGGUGAUGACAUCACCCUGCACCGAUCCUCAGGGCAGCGGCUCUGGAGAAGCAGGUCUAAGUGCCCGAAACAGGGUCGACUCAAACGUCUGGGAAACAGGGUUUUUAUUUGCGAUCAAAUGUAAAGAAAAUUGUUCAGAGACCGGUUCCUGCGCCGGUCCAUGUCGCUGUGAGAGCCUAAAGGGGGGGGGGGGGGGGGGGGGCAGGCCCCGCAGACACACACACACACACGUGUGUCUGUAUACCUGCGUGGACUUGUGUGCGCGUACAAGAGUGUCGCUCUUCAUGUAUAUGAGUGCACGCAUGAAUUUGUGUGUGGGUGUGCAUGAAAGCGUGUGUGUCUACUCCCGCCAGCCUCUAAUGGGGAUCAUGUGUGGAGUCAGCAGCAGAGACACACAAAAACAUGCUAACCCCCAACUCCCAUGCACGUCCCGCAUUAACACGCAUGUGCACGCGCACACACACACACACACAAACGCAGACAUGCACACAAAUACACGCACACAGAGUGUGCCUCAGUCAGCGAGUUAGGAACAACUCCUAGGGGAGGUAGAGCACCAGUUUGUGUGUACGUGUGUACGUGUGUGUGUGUGUGUGUGCGUGGCAUAACACACACUCUGUUUCAGAAGGAUGGAGGUCCGGGGGAGGGAGGUGGUGUAAGGAAGGCGGAGGGGGAAGGGAGGGAAUGAGAAUAAGGAAGGGGGGGAGAGAAAGGAGAAAGAUAUGGCCAGUGAGCACAGGCAAAAGGAUGGAAGGUGUGUGCGUGUGUGUGUGUGUGUGUGUAUGUGUGUGCGUGUGUGUGUGUGUGUGUGUGUGCGUGUGUGUGUGUGUGUGUGUGUGUGUGUGCACGUACAAGCAGGGGAAGAGAAGGAAAAGGAGAAGAGAGAGAGAGCGAGUGAGAGAGCACGCGAUCGACAGGGAGGACCGGGUGAAUGGCUGAGAGUAAGAGGAGGAGAGAGAGGUUGAGGGGCCCUGCACGGGGGGAGAGGAGGCCCUGCAGUUUUAGCCGAGGGGCCAGACAGUCAACAACACAUGUAUCCAAACCUUCAGAGAAACCCCUUUUUGCCAGACAAUAGCGAGCUUAACAGUGGAGCUCGCGAACCUGCUCUGCAUGGUUUGCGAGCUCCACCGCUUCGCCCUUUGUCUGUUCCUGCUCCUUUCUGAUGUUGAGAAGGCUCUUUGUGUUGACCCCCAAAGAAAAUUGUUUUAUUCACUUGUGAUACCUGGUGGAGAUUCGGGUUUUUGUUCAUGCACAUUAUCUUAGGCAAGAAAACAACAACAAGAGAUACAGGUACAGUCAAUGGUCUAAACAAUGUGAAUAUAGGUGGAAAAAAGCACUUCUGAGUGUUGAUCAAGUGUGUACGAUUGUUGAACUGCAAACUCAGUCUCAAACACUUCAUUCGUUUCUCGGUUGGCAUUCACUUUUUUUCUGCAUCUGCACAUUGGCAGCGUACGCUGGUUAAGAAGAUACAUUCUUGUUUUAUUCACAACCACUUAGUCAACUUUUUUCAAGCUAUUUUACCAGCUACAUGUUUGCAUUUUAUUUAUGUAAAACGGUAAUUCUCCAAUAAAGCAUUUAUAUAACGGACAUUUAUGCCACGCAUGCCUCUAUAACCCACAAUGCACCUCGACCACUGAAGGUCUGGUGAGCUCACUUCUUUCUACUGCACAACACAAGCUAUUUUUUAAUUUCAAAACCUUUAAUCUUUAACCCCGAACAGAGUUGACUUAAGUGACAUCACUGGAGGCAAUUCAUCAGAUGCCCCUCCCUCUUUUGAGGAAUGCAUUCCACAACACGCCGCAUGUCUAGCAACACUAGCAACCUGCUGUUUCGGCAACAAAACUAUUUUAUUAGGUUUAGAAAAAAAGAUCGAGGGUUGGGUUAUUAUAAAUGUUAAAGAAACUUUUUACAUUAUAUUUUACAUUAAAUAGCUACGUUGGUCCUGUAAAAGUAUUACACUUACUUUUGGUUUCAUACGGGACUCAAACAGCAGCGUCCUGUGUUUGUCGACCAUCCACCCCGACCUCCUCCCUGAGCGCUCGAACACUUAAUGAGAACAACUUGUCACGUUAGGGAACAGUUUUUGAUUUACAAAUCCAACAUACAUGGAGCAAAAUGAUUAGCAUCGGCGCGUAGCAUCCCGCUGGGUUGUGUUUCUGUCCACCAGACCACUGUGAUCCCAAAGUUUUAAGAAAUGUAGAAACUUUAUUUAAAUGUAUAUUGGUACACUUUCUGAUUUGGGGUUUGAGUGCAAAAUGAGUCUGAGGCUUAUGGUUGUUGUAGAUUUUAGAGCAAUAAAAACAUGCUUAGAAUGUGAAUAGUUGCAGUAAAAACUACUUGCUUCAAAAUGACUUACUUUGUGUUUAUUUGGUAAAUAGAUAUUCUUUCGUGAUGUUACCAUAAAGUAUUCACAUACUCAUUUUACAGUAGCAGUUGUUAAUAUUCCAAAGGUCUUGCUUGACUGUGGACAACGUCACCACAACGCUCUCAAUCUCACAAGGUGACAGAAAAACAGCAUCUGAAGUUACUCUACUGGUUGAAAGAAAAUAACAUCUGUAGACUGUCUGCCCGGCCAAUUAUACCACCGCACACUCAUGCUUGUGUCUCUGAUAAAAAUAAAUAAAAAGGUCCUGUAACUAUUCAAACGUUUUCAAGAGGACUCGCAAUCUGGAUCCAAUUUGACAUCCAAGUCAACAUGUGUUUCUGUCGUGAGCUUUCACGCCAAAUGUAAAUAAAGGGCCGUGUGCAUUUUGUGUUGUGAAUUCUUCACACAAAGAAAAAAAAAUUGUCUUAAUCCAAACCAAAUGUAUAACUUAUACCUCGGUGUUGUGUUUGGGUCUUUGGGUGUUUAGUCUUCAAUGGGUUUACAUGGUCAAGGUACUGAAUUCAGGUAUUGUCAGAGAAACACAAUUCAACUUUAUUUUCGUCUGAAAUGUUCAUAAGUAGCUACAUUUAGCAGAAUAUAAAUUCCCAUUUCAACACUGUCAUUGUUAGAACUUCCAGUGUUUUGCUGGAAUGAAGUAGAAACACUACCUUCAAGUCAUUUCUUUUUUUAGUUUUGGCUUUUGUUGGCCACUGAAAAUACUAAUUUGAGCAGAAAAAAAAAAUUGCAGUAAAACAGUGAAUGGUUUUAGUGAUCUUUAGCGGGAGACACGACAGGAAACUGAAACAGAAUUAAUAUAAAUUAAAGUUUGAUUGCUAAUUAAUUGUCUCAUCUCUGUUAAAUAUGCUGUAACUUCACAACAAACUCUCUUUAAAAGUGCAAACAAGGUAAUUUCCCCAAAUUCCUUCAGUGACAUGUUGAAUGCACUAUUCCACAGAGAGUAAAUAUAAAAAAAGGUCCCUAAAGCUGAAUAAGGUGUGAGGUCAUUAACUUCCAUGUUACUGUGUAAGAAGUGUGUUUGUGUGUGUGCGUUUGUUAAUAAUAAAAAAGGCCUGUCGCUGUGAACGCUGGGAACUUGUGUGUCUGACUGUGAAGUCCUCAGUCCGGCCUUUGUCAGAAAUAGGCCGGGUGAGGUUAGAAAACGUUUCAUAAGCUCAGACUGACCUCUUUCCUCUGUGCUUCUCCCUCUCUGCCUCCCCCUCCCGCCUCUCUCUCUUGAUGACGCCGUCUUCGUCUCACCCAAACGUUAAAACGGUCGACACGCAAACCUCUCGCACGUUACCUGUGAAGUCUCCUCAUUUUGAGCCAAAUCCCAAAUUCUUCUUUCUUCGUUCAUUAAAUCAGUCAGAAAAGUCUCGGUUCUCAUUAAUAUUUCCUGCAUUCUGUUUGGAGAAUAAUAUCCUCCCUGAUAAACUGACUGAGAGAAGUGACUAAAAUACUUAAAAUAUGACACCACAGUGUCUGUUUGCAAAGAUGUACGUGCGUGUCUCGGUGUGCAGGUGUGUGCAUAAAUGUGUGAGUCUGUUGCCGGCCUGCAUGUGCAUUUGUGCGUGUGUGUGCGUGUGUGUGUGUGUGUGUGUGUGAGAGAGAGCAUGUAAUUGCAUGCAUGUGUCCCCGUGCUUGUCUCCGUCUACCAUUCGAAUGCCAUCUGAAUCUGUGGCACGUACAACUGAGCUACGAGGUAUCAGAUAGACAGGACGGAAGGGGAG